rnacentral:sRNA from 1 species
UAUAGUCAAGUUUCUAAUGAAUACAAUU